CCUACGGGUGGCUGCAGUGAGGAAUAUUGGUCAAUGGGCGCGAGCCUGAACCAGCCAAGUAGCGUGAAGGAUGACUGCCCUACGGGUUGUACACUUCUUUUAUAAAGGAAUAAAGUGAUGCACGUGUGCCUUUUUGUAUGUACUUUAUGAAUAAGGAUCGGCUAACUCCGUGCCAGCAGCCUCGGUAAUACGGAGGAUCCGAGCGUUAUCCGGAUUUAUUGGGUUUAAAGGGAGCGUAGAUGGUUUCUUAAGUCAGUUGUGAAAGUUUGCGGCUCAACCGUAAAAUUGCAAUUGAUACUGGCAGUCUUGAGUACAGUUGAGGGAGGCGGAAUUCGUGGUGUAGCGGUGAAAUGCUUAGAUAGCACGAAGAACUCCGAUUGCGAAGGCAGCUUACUAAACUGCCACUGACAUUGAUGCUCGAAAGUGUGGGUAUCAAACAGGAUUAGAUACCCUUGUAGUC
rnacentral:rRNA from 1 species